AGGAGGGCUCCUUCUCCUUCUUCUCCUCGUACUCCUUCUUCUCUUCUUCUUCUUAUUCUUAUUCUUCUUCUUCUUCUCCUUCUUCUUCUUCUUCUUCUUCUUCUUCUCCUUCUUCUUCUCCUUCUCCUCCUCCUUCUUCUUCUCCUUCUCCUUCUCUUCUUCUUCUUCUUCUUCUCUUCUUCUUCUUCCUUCUUUUCAUUUCUCCUCUUCUCCUCAUCUUGGAGCUAAGUUAGCUAAGUAUGUAUUUUUGGAGCUAAAUGGGCUAAUAAUGUCAUUUUAGAGGAAAACAAGCUAAGUAUAUAGUAUUAAUGAGCUAACCAAGGUUCUUAUGCCAUUCUGAGCUUAUUAUGUCUUUUAGGAGCUUAAUUAGUCAUUUUAAUGAGAUAACCAAGGUUCUUAUGAUGUUUUUACC
rnacentral:lncRNA from 1 species